GAUGAACGCUGGCGGCGUGCUUAACACAUGCAAGUCGAACGGAAAGGCCCAAGCUUGCUUGGGUACUCGAGUGGCGAACGGGUGAGUAACACGUGGGUGAUCUGCCCUGCACUUCGGGAUAAGCCUGGGAAACUGGGUCUAAUACCGGAUAGGACCACAUUUUGGAUGGUGUGGUGGAAAGUUUUUCGGUGUGGGAUGAGCUCGCGGCCUAUCAGCUUGUUGGUGGGGUAAUGGCCUACCAAGGCGUCGACGGGUAGCCGGCCUGAGAGGGUGUACGGCCACAUUGGGACUGAGAUACGGCCCAGAUUCCUACGGGAGGCAGCAGUGGGGAAUAUUGCACAAUGGGCGCAAGCCUGAUGCAGCGACGCCGCGGGGGGGAUGACGGCCUUCGGGUUGUAAACUCCUUUCGCUAGGGACGAAGCGUUAUGUGACGGUACCUGGAGAAGAAGCACCGGCUAACUACGUG
rnacentral:rRNA from 1 species